rnacentral:rRNA from 1 species
AGAGUUUGAUCCUGGCUCAGGAUGAACGCUGGCGGCGUGCCUAAUACAUGCAAGUCGAGCGAACGGACGAGAAGCUUGCUUCUCUGAUGUUAGCGGCGGACGGGUGAGUAACACGUGGAUAACCUACCUAUAAGACUGGGAUAACUUCGGGAAACCGGAGCUAAUACCGGAUAAUAUUUUGAACCGCAUGGUUCAAAAGUGAAAGACGGUCUUGCUGUCACUUAUAGAUGGAUCCGCGCUGCAUUAGCUAGUUGGUAAGGUAACGGCUUACCAAGGCAACGAUGCAUAGCCGACCUGAGAGGGUGAUCGGCCACACUGGAACUGAGACACGGUCCAGACUCCUACGGGAGGCAGCAGUAGGGAAUCUUCCGCAAUGGGCGAAAGCCUGACGGAGCAACGCCGCGUGAGUGAUGAAGGUCUUCGGAUCGUAAAACUCUGUUAUUAGGGAAGAACAUAUGUGUAAGUAACUGUGCACAUCUUGACGGUACCUAAUCAGAAAGCCACGGCUAACUACGUGCCAGCAGCCGCGGUAAUACGUAGGUGGCAAGCGUUAUCCGGAAUUAUUGGGCGUAAAGCGCGCGUAGGCGGUUUUUUAAGUCUGAUGUGAAAGCCCACGGCUCAACCGUGGAGGGUCAUUGGAAACUGGAAAACUUGAGUGCAGAAGAGGAAAGUGGAAUUCCAUGUGUAGCGGUGAAAUGCGCAGAGAUAUGGAGGAACACCAGUGGCGAAGGCGACUUUCUGGUCUGUAACUGACGCUGAUGUGCGAAAGCGUGGGGAUCAAACAGGAUUAGAUACCCUGGUAGUCCACGCCGUAAACGAUGAGUGCUAAGUGUUAGGGGGUUUCCGCCCCUUAGUGCUGCAGCUAACGCAUUAAGCACUCCGCCUGGGGAGUACGACCGCAAGGUUGAAACUCAAAGGAAUUGACGGGGACCCGCACAAGCGGUGGAGCAUGUGGUUUAAUUCGAAGCAACGCGAAGAACCUUACCAAAUCUUGACAUCCUUUGACAACUCUAGAGAUAGAGCCUUCCCCUUCGGGGGACAAAGUGACAGGUGGUGCAUGGUUGUCGUCAGCUCGUGUCGUGAGAUGUUGGGUUAAGUCCCGCAACGAGCGCAACCCUUAAGCUUAGUUGCCAUCAUUAAGUUGGGCACUCUAAGUUGACUGCCGGUGACAAACCGGAGGAAGGUGGGGAUGACGUCAAAUCAUCAUGCCCCUUAUGAUUUGGGCUACACACGUGCUACAAUGGACAAUACAAAGGGCAGCGAAACCGCGAGGUCAAGCAAAUCCCAUAAAGUUGUUCUCAGUUCGGAUUGUAGUCUGCAACUCGACUACAUGAAGCUGGAAUCGCUAGUAAUCGUAGAUCAGCAUGCUACGGUGAAUACGUUCCCGGGUCUUGUACACACCGCCCGUCACACCACGAGAGUUUGUAACACCCGAAGCCGGUGGAGUAACCUUUUAGGAGCUAGCCGUCGAAGGUGGGACAAAUGAUUGGGGUGAAGUCGUAACAAGGUAGCCGUAUCGGAA